rnacentral:rRNA from 1 species
GAUGAACGCUGGCGGCGUGCCUAAUACAUGCAAGUCGAGCGAACAGACGAGGAGCUUGCUCCUCUGACGUUAGCGGCGGACGGGUGAGUAACACGUGGAUAACCUACCUAUAAGACUGGGAUCACUUCGGGAAACCGGCGCUAAUACCGGAUAAUAUAUUGAACCGCAUGGUUCAAUAGUGAAAGACGGUUUUGCUGUCACUUAUAGAUGGAUCCGCGCCGCAUUAGCUAGUUGGUAAGGUAACGGCUUACCAAGGCAACGAUGCGUAGCCGACCUGAGAGGGUGAUCGGCCACACUGGAACUGAGACACGGGCCAGACUCCUACGGGAGGCAGCAGUAGGGAAUCUUCCGCAAUGGGCGAAAGCUUGACGGAGCAACGCCGCGUGAGUGAUGACGGUCUUCGGAUCGUAAAACUCGGUUAUUAGGGAAGAACAAAUGUGUAAGUAACUAUGCACGUCGUGACGGUACCUAAUCAGAAAGGCACGGCUAACUACGUG